rnacentral:rRNA from 1 species
UACGUAGGGCGCAAGCGUUGUCCGGAAUUAUUGGGCGUAAAGAGCUCGUAGGCGGCUUGUCACGUCGGAUGUGAAAGCCCGGGGCUUAACUCCGGGUCUGCAUUCGAUACGGGCUGGCUAGAGUGUGGUAGGGGAGAUCGGAAUUCCUGGUGUAGCGGUGAAAUGCGCAGAUAUCAGGAGGAACACCGAUGGCGAAGGCAGGUCUCUGGGCAUUAACUGACGCUGAGGAGCGAAAGCAUGGGGAGCGAACAGG